rnacentral:other from 1 species
CCCACCCUGAGGUGUUUGCCAGUCAACAAGUCCUCGAGCCGAUAAUCUAUACCCCGGGGGUAGCUAGUCAGUACCCGUGUGCAGGUCCGGUCUACGGAAAGCCUUAGGUACUGCAGAGACCCCCACCUUGAACCUUACGGUUCAAGGCCAAGUUGACAGCGGCACCCUCGGGGCUCCU